rnacentral:rRNA from 1 species
UGGGGAAUAUUGCACAAUGGGCGAAAGCCUGAUGCAGCAACGCCGCGUGAGUGAUGAAGGCCUUCGGGUUGUAAAGCUCUGUCUUCUGGGACGAUAAUGACGGUACCAGAGGAGGAAGCCACGGCUAACUACGUGCCAGCAGCCGCGGUAAUACGUAGGUGGCAAGCGUUGUCCGGAUUUACUGGGCGUAAAGGAUGCGUAGGCGGAUACUUAAGUCAGAUGUGAAAAUCCCGGGCUUAACUUGGGAACUGCAUUUGAAACUGGGUAUCUAGAGUGCGGGAGAGGAAAGUGGAAUUCCUAGUGUAGCGGUGAAAUGCGUAGAGAUUAGGAAGAACACCAGUGGCGAAGGCGACUUUCUGGACCGUAACUGACGCUGAGGCACGAAAGCGUGGGGAGCAAACA